rnacentral:rRNA from 1 species
GACGAACGCUGGCGGCGUGCUUAACACAUGCAAGUCGAACGGAAAGGCCCUGCUUUUGUGGGGUGCUCGAGUGGCGAAAGGGUGAGUAACACGUGAGUAACCUGCCCUUGACUUUGGGAUAACUUCAGGAAACUGGGGCUAAUACCGGAUAGGAGCUCCUGCUGCAUGGUGGGGGUUGGAAAGUUUCGGCGGUUGGGGAUGGACUCGCGGCUUAUCAGCUUGUUGGUGGGGUAGUGGCUUACCAAGGCUUUGACGGGUAGCCGGCCUGAGAGGGUGACCGGCCACAUUGGGCCUGAGAUACGGCCCAGACUCCUACGGGAGGCAGCAGUGGGGAAUAUUGCACAAUGGGCGGAAGCCUGAUGCAGCAACGCCGCGUGCGGGAUGACGGCCUUCGGGUUGUAAACCGCUUUCGCCUGUGACGAAGCGUGAGUGACGGUAAUGGGUAAAGAAGCACCGGCUAACUACGUG